GCCCGCGUAGCUCAGGCAGUAGAGCGCAUUCUUGGUAAGAAUGAGGUCCGCAGUGCAAAUCUGCGCACGGGCU
rnacentral:tRNA from 1 species